rnacentral:rRNA from 1 species
AGGGAUCAUUACAAGUGACCCCGGUCUAACCACCGGGAUGUUCAUAACCCUUUGUUGUCCGACUCUGUUGCCUCCGGGGCGACCCUGCCUUCGGGCGGGGGCUCCGGGUGGACACUUCAAACUCUUGCGUAACUUUGCAGUCUGAGUAAACUUAAUUAAUAAAUUAAAACUUUUAACAACGGAUCUCUUGGUUCUGGCAUCGAUGAAGAACGCAGCGAAAUGCGAUAAGUAAUGUGAAUUGCAGAAUUCAGUGAAUCAUCGAAUCUUUGAACGCACAUUGCGCCCCCUGGUAUUCCGGGGGGCAUGCCUGUUCGAGCGUCAUUUCACCACUCAAGCCUCGCUUGGUAUUGGGCAACGCGGUCCGCCGCGUGCCUCAAAUCGACCGGCUGGGUCUUCUGUCCCCUAAGCGUUGUGGAAACUAUUCGCUAAAGGGUGCUCGGGAGGCUACGCCGUAAAACAAACCCAUUUCUAAGGUUGACCUCGGAUCAGGUAGGGAUACCCGCUGAACUUAAGCAUAUCAAAAGCCGGGAGGAA